rnacentral:rRNA from 1 species
UACGAAGGGGGCGAGCGUUGUUCGGAUUUACUGGGCGUAAAGGGCGCGCAGGCGGCUCAUUUUGUCAGGCGUGAAAGCCCCGGGCUUAACCUGGGAGGUGCGUUUGAUACGGAUGGGCUAGAGUUCGGGAGAGGAAGGUGGAAUUCCCGGUGUAGCAGUGAAAUGCGUAGAGAUCGGGAGGAACACCAGUGGCGAAGGCGGCUCUCUGGGCCUUUCCUGACGCUGAGACGCGAAAGCGUGGGGAGCGAACCGG